GGACCAAGAAAGCAAACUCCAUCUCCUUCAGACGUCGAAUAUGCUCUGAGAGGUACUCUGCAUGAAAGGUCGUCAAGAACUGUUCUCAAGUGACUUGAAAGGAUAUGGUGGUUUGCUUGAGUUGCCACCAGCGGUCUACUUCUCCUACUAGCAUGUAGGUAGCAAGGAUUACCUUCUGUUCGAGAAUUCACCCUAAAUGUCUUGAAGG
rnacentral:lncRNA from 1 species